UACGAAGGGGGCUAGCGUUGCUCGGAAUUACUGGGCGUAAGGGCGCGUAGGCGGACAGUUAAGUCAGAGGUGAAAGCCCAGGGCUCAACCCUGGAAUUGCCUUUGAUACUGGCUGUCUUGAGUACGGGAGAGGUGUGUGGAACUCCGAGUGUAGAGGUGAAAUUCGUAGAUAUUCGGAAGAACACCAGUGGCGAAGGCGACACACUGGCCCGUUACUGACGCUGAGGCGCGAAAGCGUGGGGAGCAAACAGG
rnacentral:rRNA from 1 species